CACGUAGGGGACGAGCGUUGUCCGGAUUCAUUGGGCGUAAAGCGCGCGUAGGCGGCUCGGAAAGUCGGUCGUGAAAUGCCGGGGCUCAACCCCGGGACUGCGUCCGAUACUUCCGGGCUGGAGGUAGGUAGGGGAGAUCGGAAUUCCUGGUGUAGCGGUGAAAUGCGCAGAUAUCAGGAGGAACACCGGUGGCGAAGGCGGAUCUCUGGGCCUUACCUGACGCUCAGGUGCGAAAGCUAGGGGAGCGAACAGG
rnacentral:rRNA from 1 species